rnacentral:rRNA from 1 species
UUACCGGCUUGACAUGAAAGAGAUUUGUUGCAGCACAGGUGGUGCAUGGUUGUCGUCAGCUCGUGUCGUGAGAUGUUGGGUUAAGUCCCGCAACGAGCGCAACCCUGUUCUAGUUACCAGCCAUUGGGACUCUAGGAGACUGCCGGUGACAACCGGAGGAAGGUGGGGAUGACGUCAAAUCAUCACGCCCCUUACGCCGGGCCACACACGUACUACAAUGCGGUACACGAGGCACUGCGAGGUAAGCAAUCUCUAAACCGGCCAAGUUGGAUCGGAGGCUGCAAUUCGCCUCCGUGAAGCUGGAAUCGCUAGUAAACGCAAUCAUCAUGUGCGUUGAAUACGUUCUCGGGCCUUGUACACACCGCCCGUCACACCAUGGGAGCCGAAACCGAA